ensembl:lncRNA
UCCCCAUGCCCCUCUCGUUAUAAAGCUGUGUUUCCGCGCUGUGAGUCCCUCCACACAGAACAGCCCAGAGGCGGCAGAGAGACGCACCAACACAUCUCACAUGAGAGAGCGCGCAUCUGUUCUGUCCGCGUGGCUACAUACAGCAGGUGACUGGCUGAGCAUUUACAGAUAAACAUAAGGUUACGUUGUGAAGAAAUGUGGCUGCAAAAAAAAGAGGAAGGAUCUGAGGAUAGUUAUGUCAAUGCUGAAGGAGGACAAGGCCUCAAAGGGAUUAACAAAAGUGAGGCGCGGUAUGAACAUCUCCCCUCCCCUCAACAACGCUCGAAGAAAGAUGGCUGUGACAACUCCAACUGUUUUUCCUCCUGUCUCCUUUUUCUUUCUUCUGUUAAACAGGCUCAAAUGUUAUGGUUCCAAAGAACAUCUGGAGGGCGGCCAUGCAACCAGGCCAACAGUUCCACUGAUGGCAAGAGCGCUGUUGGGUGCUUUUGAUGUUGACAUGUUGCUGAAAAGCAACCUGCGAGGUAUGUACAGAGAUUGUAUAGACCAGGCCUGGACAAUUAUUUUCCAUGGAGGGCCACAUUAGAAUAGAUUUUUUUCAUCACGGGCCAGAAUCAUACAUGUGUAGGACUAUGUUGACAGAUAUAUCUACUGUAAAUCAUGUCCAGAUAUGCUACUUUAUUUUACUUUUUUAACAUGCAAAGAAAUGAACCACAUCCAUGUUCUCCUUUUGGUAGGUAUUUUCAUUAUUAAACAUCAAUGAACUACACGGAGGGAAAAGUACACUGUGCGUUCAGCACCACGGACAGAACUCUUGUUGACGAGUAUGCACAAAAACACAAGAAAAAGAGAGCUCAGCAUUAUAUUUAAACUACUCAAUCAGUGUGAGGAGUGAAGUGUCUGAUGGGCAUUGACUAAAGCAGUGAAGUCAGGUAUAGUUUCUGACGUCACCAUGCGCAGGAUAGGUGAGAGUCAGUAAGAGAUGAUCUGUGUUGGAAGGAGAGGACCAAAGCGCAGCAUGGUACGUGUUCAUACUUUUAUUAACAAAACAACAAAGAGAACAAACAAAACCGAAACAGUUCUGUCUGGUACAGACACAAAACAAAAAACAACUACCCACAAGACACAGGUGGAAAAGGCUACCUAAGUAUGGUUCUCAAUCAGAGACAACGAUAGACAGCUGCCUCUGAUUGAGAACCACACCCGGCCAAACACAGAAAUAGAAAACCGAACACAAAAUCAUAGAAUGCUCACCCCAACUCACGCCCUGACCAAACCAAAAUAGAGACAUAAAAAGGAUCUCUAAGGUCAGGGCGUGACACUGUGCCUUGACAUGUUAUAUUUCAUCACUGAAAAUGUCUGUUCACAUACAUAGGUUGACACAAACAGUACAAACAUCUUAUAAUCUUUGGAAAGUUUUGUUCAUUGAGAGAUGCAUAGAACCUCGUCAGUGACAUUGUUUUGAAUAGUUCUCCAAUCACUGCAUCAGACUGACGAUCGAUAAGCUCAAGUUGCAGGUCAGUGGGAGCGUUAUCCACAUUGAAGGUAAAAGGAGAGGAAACCAACAGCAUGUCAUUUUCCAACACUUUGAAAUCCUCAACACAACGAGAACUCGCUGUUCAAAGAAUGCAGCACCGAUGUAUACUUCUCCCGCUGGUCAUCUAAUAGGGAACAGACAAACAUUUACUACACAGACCGUGUCACUGUUCGUCUUGACAGACAAACAUUUUCCAACAGCUCUUUCUUGUCGGGGCAAAGUUUUGCUGCAUAGUCAAUUAAACAUUUUUUUAAUGAAUUCUCCCACUGCUUUUGCAGCUGAGAAAGCAACUCUUUUGAUGCACUUGCCCUCUGCUCAGAAGACAUAUUCCUAUUCUUCUCUGCAUGCUUCUUCUGGAAGUGUUGUAGUCUUUCAAGACAGUGAUGCUCUCUUUGCACACCAAGCACACAGCUUUCCCUGAUACCUCAAUGAGGUCAAUUUCUAUUCAACAAAUUGAAGCUGUUAAAGGGAUGGGUCACUUUUUUACACCUUUUAAAGUCAGAUGGCUAAGAAAAAAACUAUGGGUUACGGGGCAAUUAGUGGCUAUUUAAACAACUCUGAACCAUAGAUUACAGUUUUUCCUGGCCCAUGGACUACUUUCAGGGUAGGGAACCAUCUGACUGACUAUGGUGUAAAAAAGGUAACUCCCUUUAACAUCUUCAAUUUGUUGAAUAGAAAUUGACGUCAACCCUGUUAUGGGGUUCUCUUAAUUGAAUAUUGCAAAUAGGGCAUUAAUGGUCAAUGAUGUCUCAUUCAACAGAAUCUGAUUAGCUUUUCACAUAAAGGUUUUUUCAUUUAUUAUAUAUAUUUUUGAUUUACGACCCCAACACCUAACUGUUCUAUGUGCUCUUUAUCUUCUAGUUGUUGCUUUCCCCCUACAAAUGCUGUCAUUAAGCGCUUCCCGGGUGCAACAAAAGGACAAGUGGGAACGGCUUACAACUGUAAAAUGCCUGAAUUAAGAAGCAAUGAGAGAAACAAAUAAAAUGAAUAGGAUUAA